UAAUGUAUGGGGAUCUGCCCGAUAGAGGGGGAUAACUACUGGAAACGGUGGCUAAUACCGCAUAAUGUCUACGGACCAAAGCAGGGGCUCUUCGGACCUUGCACUAUCGGAUGAACCCAUAUGGGAUUAGCUAGUAGUGGGGUAAAGACUCACCUAGGCGACGAUCUCUAGCUGGUCUGAGAGGAUGAUCAGCCACACUGGGACUGAGACACGGCCCAG
rnacentral:rRNA from 1 species